GCAUAGCUCAGCCGGUCGAGCAUGAGACCCGUAAGCUCAGGGCUGUGGGUUCAAGUCCUGCGAGGGGCA